rnacentral:rRNA from 1 species
GAUGAACGCUGGCGGCGUGCUUAACACAUGCAAGUCGAACGAAGCACCUUGAUUUGAUUCUUCGGAUGAAGAUCUUGGUGACUGAGUGGCGGACGGGUGAGUAACGCGUGGGUAACCUGCCUCAUACAGGGGGAUAACAGGUAGAAAUGACUGCUAAUACCGCAUAAGACCACAGCACCGCAUGGUGCAGGGGUAAAAACUCCGGUGGUAUGAGAUGGACCCGCGGCUGAUUAGGUAGUUGGUGGGGUAACGGCCUACCAAGCCGACGAUCAGUAGCCGACCUGAGAGGGUGACCGGCCACAUUGGGACUGAGACACGGCCCAAACUCCUACGGGAGGCAGCAGUGGGGAAUAUUGCACAAUGGGGGAAACCCUGAUGCAGCGACGCCGCGUGAGCGAUGAAGUAUUUCGGUAUGUAAAGCUCUAUCAGCAGGGAAGAAAAUGACGGUACCUGACUAAGAAGCACCGGCUAAAUACGUGCCAGCCGCCGCGGUAA